AAAUUGAAGAGUUUGAUCAUGGCUCAGAUUGAACGCUGGCGGCAGGCCUAACACAUGCAAGUCGAACGGUAACAGAAAGCAGCUUGCUGCUUUGCUGACGAGUGGCGGACGGGUGAGUAAUGUCUGGGAAACUGCCCGAUGGAGGGGGAUAACUACUG
rnacentral:rRNA from 1 species